AGGGCAGCUAACGCUGAAAUCCCAAACUCCCCAAAAAGCUAAAAGGAAGGGUUUUUAUUUAGGGUUUUAGGUAGGGGAGGGGGAGCAUAUGGCCUUGCUGGUCAGACCUUUCCCACCAGCCUGUGUUUGGCCUUGAGACGACUUGCAGAGAGGAGGGAGCCCGUGACCUUGCUGGUCAGCAGCUUUCCCACCAGCCUGUAUCUCCUCGCAGGGAGGAGAUAGUGAAUCCAGGUGCUUGUCCUUUACCGUGUCUGUCUCCAUGGAGGAUAGUGGAUUCUGGAGCCAGGAAGCCAGGGAUUCUGUCAGUUUUUGUCUCACACAUUUUGCUGCUAUGCUGUUGGCAGUUGCCUGAGAGUUUGCAAUAUACAUUUACAACUAAUCCAAGUCUACUUUCAAAUAGCAGUAUACCACUUCAGAGGUAGUGUCUGAGUUUCUGCCCUGCAUCAUUUUCUUUGUCACAGAGGAACAUCUUUUAACAUUCUCGCAAGGAGAACACAGACCGUGCUCCAACAAGUGUCUGACAACAAUUUGAAGCUUGAUGUUGAGCCCUUCAAAACCACACAGUCUUAGCCCGUCUGUCCCAAGUGUGAGGUUGGAGGGUGGAAGACAGUGGUGACUGGGGGCAUGAGCCUGGAUGAGAUGACUCACAAGGCCUCUUGCAGCCUGAAGAUUUGAGGAUUCUGUGCUGAUGUACCUGUGACAGCCAUCAGAAACCAACAGCAUCUUCUCUAGAAUUUGAGUUUGGAUAUUGGAGCCCCAGAUUUUGACAUGGGGCUGCCUAUUUUAGGGAUCACUAUCCCUUUUGCCUCCAUAAAGACAUUUAAGAUGGUAGUUUGGGCUGCCAGUUUCUAGAAUCUCUCUGAUGAGAGGUAUCUUGGAUCACCUCCCGAGGCUCCCUUGGCUAGGCAAUGUUAGGAAAAUAGUUCUGCAGCAGCAGAGACACCCCCUCCCCAAAGGGUCUGCUCUGCUCGCUCUGUUCCCAGGGCAUAUGGGCACACCUGCCAGCCAGCUCUGGCCCCCUGGAGUAGGCACGUCCCCUGAUGUGGGAGUCAAUGGUCACAGACCCUUUGAUGGUGCACUUUUCUAUACUUGUAUAUUCUCUUCCUUUUUUUCUUCUCCCUCCUUCUCCCCUCUCAAUGUAUCUAAACACCUGAAGAAGAAACUGCUGGUUGCUUACUCCAACAUCUGUUCUUCUCUUCCUCAACAACAAAGACUUGAAUUUGUUUUUUUUUUAAUAUAUUCUUUUUUUUUUUGAGGAAGAUUAGCCCUGAGCUGACAUCUGCUGCCAAUCCUCCUCUUUUUGCUGAGGAAGGCUGGCCCUGAGCUAACAUCCGUGCCCAUCUUCCUCUCCUUUAUAUGUGGGACGCCUACCACAGCAUGGCUUGCCAAGCGGUGCCAUAUCCGCACCCAGGAUCCGAACCGGUGAACCCCAGGCUGCCAAAGUGGAACGUGCGAACUUAACCGCUGAGCCACCGGGCCGGCCCCUUGAAUUUGUUUGAGGAUGGCAAUGUACCCAGUUUAAGAAAGUCUCCAUUAGAAGGAGUGGCCAGACGAAGUUAUGGCCAAUAAGUUGUAAGCAGAAGGGUUGUGCAGUAUUUCUGGGAAGCUUCCUCAAAAGGAAGGAGUAAUUUUUCUUCCCUUUCUUCCUUUUUGCUAUCUGGAUUGUGGAUACAAUGACUGGCACUUAAGCAGCCAUUAAGGACACUGAGGCAACAUGCUAAAUAUGGUGAAGUAGCAGCUUGGAAGAAAUUGGGGUCUCUGGUGACUUUAUAGAGUCACCCUAGCAACCCUGGCCUGCCUGCCCUCAGACUUCUCUUAUGGGAGAGAUAAAUAAGCUUCUGUCUUUUGAAAGCAACUGUUAUUGCAACCAGAGCUAAUCCUAACUAAUACAAUAUUCCCUCUCUAAACUCAGACUGUAGCUUGACAAGUAGCUCCAGAUAAUAGGGUGGAGUUUUAUGGGUUAAAAUAUGGAUAUGGAGAAGAGCGAAAAUUUAGAAUAUCUUAAGGGAUAACAGUGGGGAUUUCCCUAGGCAAGAGGCACAAGAAUAGCACUAGGCUGUACGCAGUUUCCCUUCACAGUAAGGCCCAUUUGGACCCCAUUGCAUCUCUCAGAUUUGCCACUAUAUCCCCAGUGCCUACCCCAGUGCCUGACACAUAGAACCGGCUCAAUUAAAAAUUGUUGAAAGAGUAAACAGUUUGUUGCUUUUGUAAGUGCUCUGACCAACAGGCCAAUUCACUUCGGAAAGCUCCCCCCUCAUCCCCAUGCGAAAUCUCUUCUACAACCCACCAUCACCUGUCACCACCUCUGAAACUUGCAUACAUUUAUUAACUGGUCAGCAGGCAUCAGGUACUGUGUUCAGCUUGGAGGAUGAAGUGCUGAGCAAAACAGGUAUGGAUCCUGCCCUCUGGGAGCUUCCAGUGCAGUAAGACAGAAACACCCAGAAAUAUGUGAACUAGUCAUUACAGUCUGGGAUCAGUGCAAUGAAGGAAAUAAUCAUGGAGGAAAAAUAAUAAUAAAAUAAUAAUAAUGGAGGAAACUUGUUUUUUUUAGGAAGAUUAGCUCUGAGCUAACAUCUGCUGCCAAUGCUCUUUUUUGCUGAGGAAGACUGACUCUGAGCCAAAUCUGUGCCCAUCUUCCUCUGUUUUAUAUGUAGCACGCCUGCCACAGCAUGGCUUGACAAGUGGUGUGUAGGUCCGCCCCAGGGAUCCGAACUGGAUCUGAACCCCAGACCGUCGAAGCUGAGCAUGUGAACUUAACCGCUAUGCCACCAGGCCAGCCCCCGGAGGGGACAUUUUUUUAGAGUUAUGGGCAAUAUCCUCUCAGAGAGUGAGAAGCUGAAGGAUAAGAGCAAACAGCCGUGCAAAGGGUGGGGUGGCAGUGCUGGUGGAAGCAUUCCGGGCCCAGGGAACCACGUGCACAAAGGCUCUGAGGCGUGUUUAAGGAAUGAAAGCAGCCCAGUGGGGCUGGAGCUUGGGAAGAGCUGGGGAGUGACUGGUGAAAAGGCUGCAGGGGUCAGCAGAAGCCAGGCCACACAGGCACUUGUAGGCCGCAGGAAGGAGUUUGGACUUUAUUCUAAGUGCAAUGAUAAGCUAUUGAUAAGCUUAAAGCAAGGGACUGCCAGUAUCUGGUUUUGCAUUAAGAAAGUCUCUCUGGCUGCUGUGUGGAAUUGGACAAGGUCCAGUGUGCAAGCAGGGAGACAAAUAUGCGAGGUUUUUGCCUCCAUGUGACAGAUGAGGGUGACUUAGACCAGGUAGUGGCAAUGGGGCGGGGGAGCAGUAGAGGGAUUCAGAGUGUGCUUUGGGGGUCAAGUGAUGGAAACAUGACGUGACACUGGGUGAUGGACUGAAGGUGGGAGCUGAGAGGGAGAGGGGAAUCGGGGGUUCUGAUUUGAGCAGCUGUGUAGAUGGUGGUGCCUUACGUGGAGAUGGGGUACACUGGAGGAGGUGGGGUACACUGGAGGAGGUUGGAGUUAAGACUUUGAUUUUGGUCACAUAGAUAUUGACGUACUUGUGAAACAUACCAGUGGAGCUGUUGAGAAGACAUUUGAAUAUUUGAGUCUGAAGCUCAGGAGUAUGCUUAGGAUGGGAGAUACAAAUUUGGGACUCAUUAGUGUGGUGAUGCUACUUAAGACCUUGGGAAUAGAUGCAGCUGACCCGAGAGAGUGUGUGUAGAGAGGGCAGAGCUGAGCCCCGAGACGCUCCAGCAGUUAGAGGAGGAGAAACCUGCAAAGGUGACUGAGAAGGGGCCAUAGGAUUAUUUGUAUACUGCCUGUCAUCCCCAACAGAAUGGUCUAGAGUUUGAGGAGGCUGAUAAAUAGCACCUCUUUUCUUCUGCCUGAAAUCAGAAGCAAUCAAGAGAGACACACAUCAGUCAGACAGGAGAUAAGAAUAUCACCUUUAUUAAUCAUAGAACUGCUUAGAGAAAGAGAAGUAGAGUUGUCUCUGAACAGGCCUGGUAAUAUGAGCAGCCUGUCUCACCUGCUUUCUCCACAUGGAAACAUGACAGGAGCUCUAGGAGCACAGAGGCCCUGUCUGACCUGGUCUGUGCCUAGCACAGUGCCUGGCACACAGUAGGUGCCAAUGUUUGUUGAAUGAUUGGAUCCAGAUGUCAAGAUUGAAACAAUCCUCACAGAUGAUCCAGGAAUCGCCUGAAGAGCUUAAACAUUCCAAUGCCCAGGUUACAAUCCCAGACCAAUUUUCUCAACAUUUAUGGGGACAGGGUUCAGGCCUCAGUACUGCAUUAAACUCUUGCCAGGUGAUUCCAAUGUGCAGCCAAGGUUAAGAACUGUUGCUCUGGUCUAUUUCCUCAUUUACAGUUGGGGACAUGAGGCCUAGAGCAAGAGGGUCAUCUCUAGCACUAGAGGGCUCGACCUGGCCCUGCUGCUGACUUUGAGUGGCUGGGAUAAACCUAUUUCUCUCUCUGGGCUUCAGUGUCCUUCUCCGGAAAGUGAAGAGGGUUGGGGCAGUUGAUCUCUAGAGCCCCAUCCAGCCCUAAUGGCAUAUUACUCUAUUCUCUGACCCUAGAUGUGAAUUAACUCACUGGGGCAUCACUUGUGCCUCAGAUGUCUCUGCACAGUGGUUAGGUUAGUUUUGCACUUGAAAUGAGUAGAUUAUGGAUUGCAAUGGACAGCAAAGAGGAGAUGCUUGGGACAGUACAGGACCUACCUUUCUCUAAAGAGUGGAGAAUUUGUCUUGUUUUUUCCUAGGUGGUAGCAGCAGGAAGUUCACCAGUGGGACAGCAGAGAAAUUGCGAGAAGCCCUGCUGAGGAAGCCCCAGUGGGCUGGGGCCGUCUUGUUUUUUGCUGAGGAAGAUUCACCCUGAGCUAACAUCUGUGCCAAUCUUCCUCUAUAUUGUAUGUGGGUUGCCGCCACAGCAUGGCCACUGAUGAGUGGUGUAGGUCCGCACCCAGGAGCCAAACCCGAGCUGCAGAAGCGGAGAACACUGGACUUAAUCACUAAGCCAUGGGGCUGGUGGGGCCAUCAUUUUUGCUCACGUUCCUCCUCUUCUAGUUCUUGUCUUCCCCACCCACCCCCUCCUGGUCAUCUCUUUUUCAUUCUUUCCUGUCCUCUCCAUUUAUCUACAUCAGUCACAAAUCUUUCAAAGGUGAGCCUGUUCCCUCUGCCUACCCAAGACAUCCUCCAUGCAGCCCACCUCCUUCUCUCCCACUUGAGUUUGGUGACCCAGAGCUUGUAAGUGUGUUGUCACACCACAACCAGAAGUGGUUCAUGAAAUGAGACAAGCUGGGAAAUAAGGCUGUAAGUGAUUCCUUCCUCUACAAAAUUACAUGGAGUGCUGUGGUGCUGAGCCCUGUAUUGGUCUUGAAAACUGGACAUUUCCUCAGCAACUUGAUAAGAAUUCGCUAUGAGGCUGACUAGAAUCUGGGGGCUGGAGGGGAAACUGAGGCCUAGAGCAAAGAGGUAACCGUACAAGUUUCACUGCUAGAGGGCUCUGCCUGGCCCAGGGACUUACUAAGGCAUGGCUCAGAAAUGAUCCUGGGUAACUGCUUUGUUUUGCAAAUUGCAAAACUGAGGUCUGGAGACACCAAUGACUUGCCCAGGGCAUGUGGCUUGUUCCCAAAGACUAGGACUACAGCCCAGGACUCCUGACUCUUCUUCCUAGAACACCUCAGCUGCCUCAGUCUUCUCCAGAGUGACCUUUAGAGACUAGUUUAAUUUUGUAAGCUGGUGGGGCUUGCAGUAAGAACUUUGAAGAAGAAAUGUCAAAAGGAAUCGACAAGAAUAAAAAUGGAGAGGAGAUCACAAAGCUCAGUGUCCCUUGAGGCUUUUCCUAUCUCUUUCCUUGACACCUCCCUAGCCAGCCCCUCCUCCUCCCUUGCACGGCCUCACUGUUUGCGGCGUCCAAAGGGUGGCUCUGGCCUCCUCUGCACCCACUUCCCAGGGCGCAUGUCCACUCACAUCACUUUAGCUCCUGUGACAUGCAGACACUUCCACAUCUGCUGCUCCUGCCCUGGACUUCACAUUUCUUUCCACAGCUGGUUCUGGGAUAUUUCCAUAUGUAAAUAUGCUUAGCUCAGCUGGAAAUCAAAAUUGGAAUUCAUCUUCCCUCUGAAAAUCUGCAGCCUUUUCCUACACCCCUGUUUCCUUCCGUGCUUCCAUAGUCUCCCAGACUCAAAACUUUCGUGUCCCCAGAGGCUGGAGGAGUUGGGAAGGGGAGUCAGUGUUUAAUGGGGACAGAGCUUCAGUUUGGGAAGAUGACAACGUUCUGGACACGGAUGGUGAUGAUGGUUGUCCAACAAUGUGAAUGUACUUAAUGCCACUGAACUGCACACUUAAUAAUGGUUACAAUGGAGAAAAAUGGUUGCAGGGGUAAAUUUUAUAUGUAUUUAACACAAUAUAAAAAACAUAAAACAAAAAACUUUCAUGUUAUCCUUGACUCAUGGCUACUUUGCUCUCUCCUUCCCAGCUCACUUUGUCCCCGGG
rnacentral:lncRNA from 1 species